GAGAUUGCCAUUACGAAGUGAACGUCUGAUCUCGAAACUGUAAAACCUAGCACACGUAAUAUUGAAUGCUACUCGAAACGGACGGGGAAAUCGGAACAAUAAUCGUCAAAAACAUGAGCGACAGAUAAGGAUUCGUCUUGGCCUCUAUGGGGCUGUCCAAUCCGGAGACGCCCACGAACUCGGGACAGCACGCGUCUCAGCAAGACCACUCCAGGUGCAAUGCUAGCACUGAGGCACACGACAUGGCCGCUCAGAUGACGAGAUCGACGGCCUAAAUUUUCCGAGCGGAGAUUCGAAGCUGCGUCUCAUCACUUACCAAGAGUGAAACAACCUGAUUUUCGACCUGCUCCAUAUCUUACAUUUUCGCUGUCGUUCUUCAGAUGACGCUGCCUAUGUGUUUUGCCAAAAGCUGGGUUUCUAACGAAAGGCUGUCCGUGUCCAAAAUAUUCCGGUGGAACGCAUUCUGGAUGAACUUUAUGAUUGCGCAAAGGCCCUUGCGCAGCCUUCGGUGCAAUCAUAAAGCUCCUACAGAAUGCCUAUCACCGGAACAUUUGGGACACGAACAGCCUUUCACUGGAAACCCAGCUUCUGGGCAAAACCCAUAAGCAGCGUCAUCCAGAGAGCGACAGUGAAAAUAUAGGACAUAGAGCAGGUC